GAUGAACGCUGGCGGCGUGCCUAAUACAUGCAAGUCGAGCGAACAGACGAGGAGCUUGCUCCUCUGACGUUAGCGGCGGACGGGUGAGUAACACGUGGAUAACCUACCUAUAAGACUGGGAUAACUUCGGGAAACCGGAGCUAAUACCGGAUAAUAUAUUGAACCGCAUGGUUCAAUAGUGAAAGACGGUUUUGCUGUCACUUAUAGAUGGAUCCGCGCCGCAUUAGCUAGUUGGUAAGGUAACGGCUUACCAAGGCGACGAUGCGUAGCCGACCUGAGAGGGUGAUCCGCCACACUUGAACUGAGACACGGUCCAGACUCCUACGGGAGGCAGCAGUAGGGAAUCUUCCGCAAUGGGCGAAAGCCUGACGGAGCAACGCCGCGUGAGUGAUGAAGGUCUUCGGGUCGUAAAACUCUGUUAUUAGGGAAGAACAAAUGUGUAAGUAACGAUGCACGUCUUGACGGUACCUAAUCAGAAAGCCACGGCUAACUACGU
rnacentral:rRNA from 1 species